UUAAAUAGCUGCAGUAUAAAUAACUGUACAAAGGUAGCAUAAUAAUUAGUUUUUUAAUUAAAAACUAGAAUGAAUGAUUUAAUGAAAUAAAAACUGUCUCAAUUUAAAUAAAUAAAAUUUUUUUUUAAGUAAAAAAACUUAAAUAAAAUUAAAAGACGAGAAGACCCUAUAGAAUUUUAUAUUUAAUUGGGGAGAUUUUAAAAUUUACUAAACUUUUAAAUAUAUAAAAUACAUAAAUUUAUGAAAAUAAUAUAUUUUAUAAAAAAUAUAAAUUAAAUUACCUUAGGGAUAACAGCAUUA
rnacentral:rRNA from 1 species